CUAGCUGUAAACGAUGGAUACUAGGCGUUGAGAGUAUCGACCCUCUCAGUGUCGUAGCUAACGCGUUAAGUAUCCCGCCUGGGGAGUACGCGCGCAAGCGUGAAACUCAAAGGAAUUGACGGGGGCCCGCACAAGCGGUGGAGUAUGUGGUUUAAUUCGAUGCAACGCGAAGAACCUUACCAGGGCUUGACAUGUCCGGAACCCUGCCCAAAGACGGGGGUGCCUACGGGAACCGGAACACAGGUGGUGC
rnacentral:rRNA from 1 species